GACCUCAAAUCAGUAGA
rnacentral:rRNA from 1 species